rnacentral:rRNA from 1 species
AUGUCAAUGCCAAUUGAAUCAAGGCUAUUAGCUGUCAAUUUGAACUUUUUGGUAUUUUCUGUUUCUUUGGAUGAUAUGAUGGGUCAAUCAUUUGCUUCAUUAGUUCCAACAGUGGCAGCUGCGGAAUCUGCUAUUGGAUUAGCCAUUUUGGUUAUUACUUUUCGAGUCCGAGGGACUAUUGCUAUCGAAUCUAUAAAUUGCAUUCAAGCCCAAAGAGGUGCAUAUGGUACCCAAAUAAGAAUAAGAUAG